CAGCAGUCGCCGCGGUAAUACGUAGGGUGCAAGCGUUAAUCGGAAUUACUGGGCGUAAAGCGUGCGCAGGCGGUUAUAUAAGUCAGAUGUGAAAUCCCCGGGCUCAACCUGGGAACUGCAUUUGAGACUGUAUGGCUAGAGUGUGUCAGAGGGGGGUAGAAUUCCACGUGUAGCAGUGAAAUGCGUAGAUAUGCGGAGGAAUACCGAUGGCGAAGGCAGCCCCCUGGGAUAACACUGACGCUCAUGCACGAAAGCGUGGGGAGCAAACAGGAUUAGAUACCCGCGUAGUCCCUGUCUCUUAUAC
rnacentral:rRNA from 1 species